rnacentral:lncRNA from 1 species
GACGGAGUCCAAAGAAGCCGUGCACAUUCGACCGCCCAAAUCGACGCCCAAACUUCGGUGAGUUUUGACCGUCUUCUCGAGCAAGUAAAGAUCUGAAGACCAUCCGAGAGAAACCCUAGUUUCAUGCCUUUAGUUCCUUCAGGGAUUCAAUCUUAUGAACGACAGAGGUCGAGAGAAUGGCUUGGCUUUGAAGCCGACCAAACUUGGACCCCACCAUCUUUCAACCGAGACCCACGAUCAAAAGGCCAAG